AUUGAACGCUGGCGGCAGGCCUAACACAUGCAAGUCGAACGAGUGGCGGACGGGUGAGUAAUGUCUGGGAAACUGCCUGAUGGAGGGGGAUAACUACUGGAAACGGUAGCUAAUACCGCAUACCAUCAGAUGUGCCCAGAUGGGAUUAGCUAGUUGGUGGGGUAACGGCUCACCAAGGCGACGAUCCCUAGCUGGUCUGAGAGGAUGACGAGCCACACUGGAAUGGGGACACGUUCCAGACUCCUACGGUAGGAAGCAGUGGUGAAUAUUGCACAAUGGGCGCAAGCCUGAUGCAGAGAUGCCGCGUGUAUGAAGAAGGCCUUAGGGUUGUAAGGUACUUUCAGCGGGGAGGCGUUACCCGCAGAAGAAGCACCGGCUAACUCCGUGCCAGCAGCCGCGGUAAUUC
rnacentral:rRNA from 1 species